AUUAUGGGACCUAUGGGGGCAUUAUGGGAUCAUUAUGGGACCUGUGGGGGCAUUAUGGGACCUAUGGGGGCAUUAUGGGACCUAUGGGGGCAUUAUGGGAUCGUUAUGGGACCUGUGGGGGCAUUGUGGGACCUACGGGGGCAUUAUGGGACCUAUGGGGGCAUUAUGGGAUCGUUAUGGGAUCUAUAGGGGCAGUGUGGGACCUACAGGGGCACUAUGGGACCUAUGGGGGCACUAUGGGAUCGUUAUGGGAUCUGUAGGGGCAGUGUGGGGCCUGUAGGGGCACUAUGGGACCUAUAGGGGCACUGCAGGACCUAUGGGGGCAUUAUGGGACCAUUAUGGGACUUAUAGGGGCACUAUGGGAGCUAUGGGGGAAGUGUGAGACCAUUAUGGGAUGUAUAGGUGCCAUUGGGUGCCAUUGGGUUCCACUGGGUUCCUUUGGGUGUUCCAUUGGGUGCCAUUGGGUUCCCUUGGAGUUCCACUGGGUUCCAUUGGGUUCCAUUGGAGUUCCAUUGGGUUCCACUGGGUGCCAUUGGGUUCCACUGGGUUCCAUUAAGUUCCAUUGGGUGCCAUUGGGUUCCAUUGGAGUUCCAUUGGGUUCCAUUGGGUUCCACUGGGUUCCACUGGGUUCCAUUGGGUUCCAUUGGAGUUCCAUUGGGUUCCAUUGGGUUCCACUGGGUUCCAUUGGAGUUCCAUUGGGUUCCAUUGGGUUCCACUGGGUUCCAUUAGGUUCCAUUGGUUUCCAUUGGGUUCCAUUAAGUUCCAUUGGGUGCCAUUGGGUGCCAUUGGGUGCCAUUGGGUGCCAUUGA
rnacentral:lncRNA from 1 species